UACGAACUGUGCGAACGUUAUUCGGAAUCACUGGGCUUACCGGGUGCGUAGGCGGCUCAACAAGUCAGGUGUGAAAGCCCCCGGCUCAACCGGGGAACUGCGCUUGAAACUGUUAGGCUCGAGUCAGCUAGAGGUACACGGAACUUCCAGUGGAGCGGUGAAAUGUGUUGAUAUUGGAAGGAACACCGGAGGCGAAAGCGGUGUACUGGGGCUGGUCUGACGCUGAGGCACGAAAGCCAGGGGAGCGAACGGG
rnacentral:rRNA from 1 species